GCCCGCCUAGCUCAAUCGGAUAGAGCGUCAGACUCUUAUAAAUCUGACUCAAUUUUGAGACUUCGCGAUCUGAAGGCUGCGAGUUCGACCCUCGCGGUGGGCU